rnacentral:rRNA from 1 species
UACGAGAGGGGCAAGUGUUGUUCGUAAUGACUGGGCGUAAAGGGUAUGUAGGCUGUUAAAUCAUUAACAGGAGAUGAAAUGCUGUAUAAAAUGUAUAUAGAAACAUCAAAUGUAAGUUUUAACUAGAGUUAUACUCAGGAUUACGAGAAUUUUUUUUGUAGGGCUAAAAUCCAUUUUAGAAAAAAAAGAGAAUGCCGAUUGGUGAAGACACUGAUCUAGAGGUAACUGACGCUGAGGUACGAAAGCGUGGGGAGCGAAUAGG